rnacentral:rRNA from 1 species
AGCAGCCGCGGUAAUUCCAGCUCCAAUAGCGUAUAUUAAAGUUGUUGCAGUUAAAAAGCUCGUAGUUGAAUUUCGGGAUCAGUGGGUCGGUCGUGCCACUGGUAUGCACUGGCCCUACUGGUUCCUCCUUCUUGAAGAACUGUAAUGCCAUUAAUUUGGUGUUGCAGGGAAACAGGACUGUUACUUUGAAAAAAUUAGAGUGUUUAAAGCAGGCAAUCGCUUGAAUACAUUAGCAUGGAAUAAUGAAAUAGGACGUUCGAUCCUAUUUUGUUGGUUUCUAGGAUUGACGUAAUGAUUAAUAGGGAUAGUUGGGGGCAUUAGUAUUCAAUUGUCAGAGGUGAAAUUCUUGGAUUUAUUGAAGACUAACUACUGCGAAAGCAUUUGCCAAGGAUGUUUUCAUUAAUCAAGAACGAAAGUUAGGGGAUCGAAGACGAUCAGAUACCGUCGUAGUCUUAACCAUAAACUAUGCCGACUAGGGAUCGGAUGAUGUUAAUUUUUUAAUGACUCAUUCGGCGCCUUACG